GGGAUUUUUCAAUUUGAUGGCAGUUUUGAAGAGUAAGAAAGAAAAAAAAUCCAUUAUGAUUUCAUCAGUGAGUUGGGUGACAAAUAGCUGACAUCAUGAUUCUUAGAAUGAAACACAACAGCUAGAAUGGUGGGAAGAGGGAGCCAGAUGAAAAGGUUGCAGCUGUGCUGAUUAGCCAAUAAGGUGAACAUUAACAGCAGAGAGGAUGGCUGAUACGCUGAAGAAGCUUUCUGGUGGUUGAUUAGCAGAGGAAGCAAUGAAGAAAGACAUGCCCAGAAAGGAGAAAAAGAAGAAUUUGUGGAACCAACAUGCUGAGAUACUGUGUCCCAGUUCUGGCGUUUACCCUUUAAAUAAAAAGGAUAUUGACAAAUUGGAAGAGAAAGAAUGAUA